CGACAAAUGAACUUGCUCCCGUCCCCUGAGCACAGGUGUGAUGAGCAUUAAGGAACCUCAGGAGCACACGCUCUUGGCAGGGAGGGGGAGAGAAGCUGACCUGGGUGGUAACUGGGCUUCCCAGGGAAGGAGGGCAAGGAGCAAUUAAUGAUAUUUCUGUCUCAUGGUGAAGAAAACAUGGACUAGAAAGCCACCCAGUGGGCAUGGAAUGGAUCAGGCAGCCUAAUGAAACCAGCAGUUAAUGACCUAAGGAGAAGAACUAAAACCAGCCCACUGCUCCACGGAGGCACUUAAUUUUUUCACGGGCCAUCCUACGCCGAGUGUUUUCUCGAAGAGUUUGGUGCUGGUUGAUGCACAGGUUCAUCAGCGAGGAGAGGACAAAGUCAUUAGCCACUUGUGCAGGGCAGUGGACUUUUCAGCUCUGCCACCCACGUUUUGAGCCAGGUGCCUGUGACUCACUGCACCGUGCAGUCUGCAGAGGAACGUUGCGAUGUAUGCAGCCCAAGCUUCUCUUCCUCCCUUCGUGCACCUGCUAAUGGUUUGUUAUGAACACUCCUGCUCGCUGAGCCCUCUCCCAUGGCUUGACCUCUUUCCUGAAUAAUGGAAUAAGUCAGGAUUUUAUCUCUCAGCUGUGAGGUCUGAAGAGCCCUGGACAUGCUCUUCUUCUCCUCUUGCUCAGUCCGUGUGGUCCACACACCCUGUGCAUGUGGUAUCUUCUCUUUGAAAGAUUUGGCUUGCCUGGCUGUUAUGACACAGAGCUCUCUGGCUGGGAGCCUUUGGGCUCUCUCCUCUGCCAGAUGUGCUUGUGUUCUUCUUAUAGCUUUCCUUCUCAUCUGAAGGUUUUUUGGUUGAAGGCUUUGCAGGUAGGAAAGCAUAAGAGGGUUGCUUAGAUGAAACAAGCUUGCCCUUGGGUGUAAUUUGCAGUGAUUGGUUUUUAAAUAGUUGAGUCAUACCUUACACGUUAAAUAAAUCUUAUAUCUUUAAAAAUCUGUAGUUGAUC
rnacentral:lncRNA from 1 species